AUUGAACGCUGGCGGCAUGCCUUACACAUGCAAGUCGAACGGCAGCACGGGAGCAAUCCUGGUGGCGAGUGGCGAACGGGUGAGUAAUAUAUCGGAACGUGCCCAGUCGUGGGGGAUAACGUAGCGAAAGCUACGCUAAUACCGCAUACGAUCUAUGGAUGAAAGCGGGGGAUCGCAAGACCUCGCGCGAUUGGAGCGGCCGAUAUCAGAUUAGGUAGUUGGUGGGGUAAAGGCUCACCAAGCCGACGAUCUGUAGCUGGUCUGAGAGGACGAUCAGCAACACUGGGACUGAGACACGGCCCAGACUCCUACGGGAGGCAGCAGUGGGGAAUUUUGGACAAUGGGCGCAAGCCUGAUCCAGCAAUGCCGCGUGCAGGAUGAAGGCCUUCGGGUUGUAAACUGCUUUUGUACGGAGCGAAAAGGCUUCCACUAAUACUGGGGGCUCAUGACGGUACCGUAAGAAUAAGCACCGGCUAACUACGUGCCAGCCGCCGCGGUAAAAC
rnacentral:rRNA from 1 species